rnacentral:rRNA from 1 species
AUUGAACGCUGGCGGCAGGCCUAACACAUGCAAGUCGAGUGAGCGGCGGACGGGUGAGUAAUGUCUGGGAAACUGCCUGAUGGAGGGGGAUAACUACUGGAAACGGUAGCUAAUACCGCAUACCAUCAGAUGUGCCCAGAUGGGAUUAGCUGGUUGGUGGGGUAACGGCUCACCAAGGCGACGAUCCCGAGCUGGUCUGAGAGGAUGACCAGCCACACUGGAAUUGAUACACGGUCCAGACUCCUACGGGAGGCCGCAGUGGGGAAUAUUGCACAAUGGGCGCAAGCCUGAUGCAGCCAUGCCGCGUGUGUGAAUAAGGCCUUCGGGUUGUAAAGUACUUUCAGCGAGGAGGCGUUACUCGCAGAAGAAGCACCGGCUAACUCCGUGCCAGCCGCCGCGGUAAUUC